UACGUAGGCAGCAAGCGUUGUUCGGAGUUACUGGGCGUAAAGGGUGCGUAGGCGGCUAUUUAAGUUUGGUGUGAAAUCUCCUGGCUCAACUGGGAGCUUGCAGGCGAAACUGCCGUGCUGGAGUGUGGGAGAGGUGCGUGGAAUUCCCGGUGUAGCGGUGAAAUGCGUAGAGAUCGGGAGGAACAUCAGUGGCGAAGGCGGCCAUCUGGAUCAACACUGACGCUGAGGCACGAAAGCGUGGGGAGCAAACAGGG
rnacentral:rRNA from 1 species